CGUGGCAGAUCCGUCGGUGUGGGGCAGACCCCCGAGUGUGGAGCUGCCCCCACAAACAGGGGCAAACCCCUCGGCGUGGGGCAGCCCCCAUUGACCAGGGAAGACCCCCAGAUGUGGGGCAGCCUCCCUCAAUGUGGGGCAGCCCCCACGGCCAGGAGAACACCCCUCGGUGUGGGGCAGACCCCAUUACGUGGGGCGGACCCCACCGGUGCGGGGCGGACCCCUCAAUGUAGAGCGGCCCCCACGGACAGAAGACCCCUUGAUGUGGGGCAGCCCCCCAGAUGCGGGGCGGCCUCCACGGACAGGGGCAGACCCCACGGAUGUGGGGCAGCCCCCUCGAUGUGGGGCAGCCCCCCGGGGGGUCACUCCCGGAUGCUGGCAGAGUAUGAGAACUGGGGGAAGUGCGUGCGCUGAUCGCCGUCCAGGGCGUCCACGUCGUCAUAGCGGUCGGGCGGGGUGAUGGUGAUGGACUGCGCCGUGAAUUCGUCGUCAAAGUACCGCGUGUCGAUCUCUGAGGUCACCUGAGGCCGGAAGGGGGGCACGAGCUUCCUGUGCACCACGUCCUGCCAGUUGAUGGCGGCGAAGAAGCGGUGCUCCAUCACCUCCUGCGCGUCCGUGGGGCCGCCGCCCAGCCUCUGCUUGGGGUCCUUUUUGAGCAGCCCGGCCAGCAGCGCUUUGGCCUCGGGGCUGAGGGUGCGGGGGAAGCGGAUCUCCUCC
rnacentral:lncRNA from 1 species